UUCACGCAAAGAAAAGCAAGGUGAAGAUAUGGACGAACUACACACCCACUCCUACAUAUCCAAAAACAAUUGAUAACAAGAUUUUGGCUGGAAAGGUAAAGCAACAUUCUUGUUUUUUCUUCUUCCAGAUUUGGGAGGAGUGGAGGUUCCAUUAGCAUACGUUUUUGUUUUCCUUUAAUCCCUUUCAUCCCUUCCCCAUUUGGCAAAAAAAAAAAAAAUUGAAUUCUAUCUUCAGGCUUGGACCGUCACAGUGGGAAGUCAGAAGCCUAACUUUGUGAAUCACGUGGAUUGGGGGUCUUUAAUGCCACUGUUGAAGUAUCAGGGAGAUACCAACUUAUGUUGGGCGUACUUGACAACAACGUGUGCAGAGGUCCUAUACUUCAUUGAGGCCGGAGAGCGCAUAUCAGUGAACAUUACUAGCAUGAUCGAGAGUGCCAAAGACACCAUGUUACCAGAUGACACGAAUUUGCCUGAGGGUGGCUUCGAAGUCAUGGCAAAGGGUGCCCUUUGUCAGUAGGGCUAGCCCCCAAGGUAAAUAUAUUUGCAUAUUCUUCGUAAAAUAAAUUAUUAAAUUUUGGAUUUUGAAUGUUGAUAAUAAGUUGGUUUUGUUUCUAGGGUAAGGAAGGGCUGUUUUUCUUGGGUGAAGUUAAGAAAUUGUUGGGCGAACAAGUGAUGAAACAUGCACUUGAUUUUGGCCCAAUUUGUGCCAUUUUGGAUUGGCAUCCAUGCAUGUUAUCCUUUGUGAAGGUAUUGUCUUGUUACUCUUGCUCUUUUUUGAAUAUUAUGAGUGUAAAACUUUAACUUAUAUAUGGGUAGGCUUUGACGAAAGUUUAGAGAUUUGAGUUUUUGUACAUAUUCAAGGUUGUUGUGGAUUUUCUAGGAGUUGGAUGAUAAAAAAGGGCAAGGCUUUGGGAAUAGAUGAGCUUGUGCCUUGUCUUUGGUUUAAGAGUGUUGGGUGAAUUUCGUGGGGGCUAGGUAAUAGAAAUGCGUGAAUAAAUGAGAGGUGGGAGAGGUUAGAGAUGUGGUAAAGUGAGCUACAGACAUGUCUCUAGAGAUUUCAAAGUCGAGCAAAAGGUCGUCAUUUUGAAGAUGCGGAUGCCAUUUGUCUUACAAUGCGCUUGGUGUUGAAAAAAUUCUGAUAGAAUUCUCUCUUUUAAACAGUUUUAGGAGACCAUUGUACCCCCAAUGCCUUAUGGGAUUGCGUUAUGCACUGAAUACGCGUGCGAGAAUGAAGGGAAGGCUGUGAUCAAGCGGUGUCACUUGUGUGGUUAUGGAUACGGCUUGCAUCAGGUCUGCAUAGCAGGUUAUGGCAGCAGCUCUACAGGGAAAAAGUACUGGAUAGUGCAUGACAGCGCCUUUGGGAAGAUUAGGGUGGAGGGGGGCAGAACGCUUUUGGCAUUGGGUGUCGAGCAUGCCUAAUGAUGAAGUUCGGGCAUUUUGCGCCUUAGCAGGGGAGCAUUGGCCAUCACUAGGCCACUCCCUCUUGGCAAGAAGUGGGAGACAUUUCUUGCAAGGGUGAAGAGAGAAGAGCAUUCUAAGAUUGUAGAGAGGAGCUGGUCCGAGGGAAGACCUGAGGACGAAUGAAUGAUCCAACAAUUGAUACUAACAAUACUUGACACAAUUACAGGAGAGAGAUGCA
rnacentral:lncRNA from 1 species